GGGGUACUCUGAGCAGCUCCCUGAGUGACUGCCCGGCGGAGAGUCCUUGUGGACCCUGGGGUCGAAGGCCCAGCCUGCGUCUGAUUCAUGGUCUCUCUGUGGUAGCUGCCUCCCCCUCCCCACCGGGACACCGAGUUGACCCCUGCCUGGCAGGGUCUGGUGGACGAGCCAAGUGUCGUGCUGGAAGCAACAGGGCCCUGUGUCACGACACUAGGGUGAGCCAGCAGACGCGGGUCAGAGCGGCACACACACUAGCCCGGGACCUGGGGCGAUUCUGCCUGCAAACACGGCUGAUUUCCCAG
rnacentral:lncRNA from 1 species